rfam:Asian citrus Psyllid, Diaphorina citri - Florida Strain, whole genome shotgun sequence.
GCCAGUGUUGAUAGCACGUUGAAUUCAGCAGUAACCACUGAAGUUAAGCAACGCUACGCGUGGUUGGCAUCCGGUUGGGUGACCAUCUGGACGAUCGCGUGCUGCUGUCC